GAGCCACGUGGCAUAAUGGUUAAGUGUUUGAACUGCCAUUCACAUGGUCAGGAGUUCGAACCCCCUGUGGAUCA
rnacentral:tRNA from 1 species